UGGGGAAUAUUGCACAAUGGGCGCAAGCCUGAUGCAGCCAUGCCGCGUGUGUGAAGAAGGCCUUCGGGUUGUAAAGCACUUUCAGCGAGGAGGAAGGUGGUGAACUUAAUACGUUCAUCAAUUGACGUUACUCGCAGAAGAAGCACCGGCUAACUCCGUGCCAGCAGCCGCGGUAAUACGGAGGGUGCAAGCGUUAAUCGGAAUUACUGGGCGUAAAGCGCACGCAGGCGGUUUGUUAAGUCAGAUGUGAAAUCCCCGGGCUCAACCUGGGAACUGCAUUUGAAACUGGCAAGCUAGAGUCUCGUAGAGGGGGGUAGAAUUCCAGGUGUAGCGGUGAAAUGCGUAGAGAUCUGGAGGAAUACCGGUGGCGAAGGCGGCCCCCUGGACGAAGACUGACGCUCAGGUGCGAAAAGCGUGGGGAGCAAACAGGAUUAGAUACCCCUGGUAGUCCACGCUGUAAACGAUGUCGAUUUUGGAGGUUGUGCCCUUGAGGCGUGGCUUCCGGAGCUAACGCGUUAAAUCGACCGCCUGGGGAGUACGGCC
rnacentral:rRNA from 1 species